rnacentral:rRNA from 1 species
GAUGAACGCUGGCGGCGUGCCUAAUACAUGCAAGUCGAGCGAACAGAUGAGGAGCUUGCUACUCUGACGUUAGCGGCGGACGGGUGAGUAACACGUGGAUAACCUACCUAUAAGACUGGGAUAACUUCGGGAAACCGGAGCUAAUACCGGAUAAUAUAUUGAACCGCAUGGUUCAAUAGUGAAAGACGGUUUUGCUGUCACUUAUAGAUGGAUCCGCGCCGCAUUAGCUAGUUGGUAAGGUAACGGCUUACCAAGGCAACGAUGCGUAGCCGACCUGAGAGGGUGAUCGGCCACACUGGAACUGAGACACGGUCCAGACUCCUACGGGAGGCAGCAGUAGGGAAUCUUCCGCAAUGGGCGAAAGCCUGACGGAGCAACGCCGCGUGAGUGAUGAAGGUCUUCGGAUCGUAAAACUCUGUUAUUAGGGAAGAACAAAUGUGUAAGUAACUAUGCACGUCUUGACGGUACCUAAUCAGAAAGCCACGGCUAACUACGUG